rnacentral:rRNA from 1 species
AGAGUUUGAUCCUGGCUCAGAACGAACGCUGGCGGCGUGCUUAACACAUGCAAGUCGAGUGCGCGUCCCGGUAGCAAUAUCGGGAUGGCGCACGGCGCACGGGUGCGUAACACGUGGGUAAUCUGCCCUCUGAUGGGGAAUAACUCGCCGAAAGGCGAGCUAAUACCGCAUAACAUUCCGGGAACUCCGGUUUCUGGAUU